rnacentral:rRNA from 1 species
AGUGAACGCUGGCGGUAGGCCUAACACAUGCAAGUCGAACGGCAGCACAGUAAGAGCUUGCUCUUACGGGUGGCGAGUGGCGGACGGGUGAGGAAUACAUCGGAAUCUACUUUUUCGUGGGGGUUAACGUAGGGAAACUUACGCUAAUACCGCAUACGACCUACGGGUGAAAGCAGGGGAUCUUCGGACCUUGCGCGAUUGAAUGAGCCGAUGUCGGUUUAGCUAGUUGGCGGGGUAAAGGCCCACCAAGGCGACGAUCCGAAGCUGGUCUGAGAGGAUGAUCCGCCACACUGGAACUGAGACACGUUCCAGACUCCUACGGGAGGCAGCAGUGGGGAAUAUUGGACAAUGGGCGCAAGCCGGAUCCAGCCAUACCGCGUGGGUGAAGAAGGCCUUCGGGUUGUAAAGCCCUUUUGUUGGGAAAGAAAAGCAGCAGGUUAAUACCCCGCUGUUCUGACGGUACCCAAAGAAUAAGCACCGGCUAACUUCGUG